rnacentral:RNase_P_RNA from 1 species
CUGGGAAAAAGGAUGGCUGCCUCAUAUUUUAGUGUGAGGAGGAAAGUCCAGACUGCAUAGAACAAGGGUUGGGGCGUAAGCCCCGAACGGAAACGUCUGGUGCCCGCCAUAUUGGCAGGACAGAAGGUGAAUCAACAUCUUCUGAGACCCACAGAGACGAGUCUCUAUUAUUUUUGAUAGAGAGUGAAACGCGGGAAUCCCACCUGCAGCAACUCCCGAAUUCCGUGAGUCUUUUGACGCGGUUGUUCGCCGAACGGAGAAGAAGGAGGCAAAGAUAGAUGGUCAUCAGUUGAGCGUUGCUCAAUGAACAGAAUCUGGCUUACUCUUUUCCCAGAAUA